GCUAGGUGUCUAUAUGGGUUGGUGGGUGGAUAGCUGGGUGUCUAUAUGGGUUGGUGGGCGGAUAGCUGGGUAUCUAUAUGGGUUGGUGGAGGGAUAGCUGGGUGUCUAUAUGGGUUGGUGGGGAUAGCUAGGUGUCUAUAUGGGUUGGUGUGGAGGAUAAUAACACACGGAUAGGUUAAACAAACAACAGUCAGUAACACAGUCUGUUACACAGUCAGUAACACAUUCAGUAACACAGUCAGUAACACAGUCAGUAACACAGUCAGUUACACAGUCAGUUACACAUUCAGUAACACAGUCAGUAACACAGUCAGUUAUACAGUCUGUUACACAGUCUGUUACACAGUCAGUAACACAGUCAGUAACACAGUCAGUAACACAGUCAGUUACACAG
ensembl:lncRNA